UACGUAGGUGGCAAGCGUUGUUCGGAAUUAUUGGGCGUAAAGGGCGCGUAGGCGGCCUGCUAAGUCGAACGUGAAAUCCCCGGGCUCAACCCGGGAACUGCGUCCGAUACUGGUGGGCUUGAAUCCGGGAGAGGGAUGUGGAAUUCCAGGUGUAGCGGUGAAAUGCGUAGAUAUCUGGAGGAACACCGGUGGCGAAGGCGGCAUCCUGGACCGGUAUUGACGCUGAGGCGCGAAAGCUAGGGGAGCAAACGGG
rnacentral:rRNA from 1 species